GAUGAACGCUGGCGGCGUGCCUAGUACAUGCAAGUCGAGCGAAUGGAUUAAGAGCUUGCUCUUAUGAAGUUAGCGGCGGACGGGUGAGUAACACGUGGGUAACCUGCCCAUAAGACUGGGAUAACUCCGGGAAACCGGGGCUAAUACCGGAUAAUAUUUUGAACUGCAUGGUUCAAAAUUGAAAGGCGGCUUCGGCUGUCACUUAUGGAUGGACCCGCGUCGCAUUAGCUAGUUGGUGAGGUAACGGCUCACCAAGGCAACGAUGCGUAGCCGACCUGAGAGGGUGAUCGGCCACACUGGGACUGAGACACGGCCCAGACUCCUACGGGAGGCAGCAGUAGGGAAUCUUCCGCAAUGGACGAAAGUCUGACGGAGCAACGCCGCGUGAGUGAUGAAGGCUUUCGGGUCGUAAAACUCUGUUGUUAGGGAAGAACAAGUGCUAGUUGAAUAAGCUGGCACCUUGACGGUACCUAACCAGAAAGCCACGGCUAACUACGUGCCAGCCGCCGCCGUAAUAC
rnacentral:rRNA from 1 species